GUGUCGUUGGUGUAACGGUUAGCACAACGGUCUCCAAAACCGUUAGUCGGGGUUCGAAUCCCCGGCGGCGCG
rnacentral:tRNA from 1 species